rnacentral:tRNA from 1 species
UGGGGCGUCGUCUAAUGGCAGGACAGCGGAUUCUGGUUCCGUAUGUGGGGGUUCGACUCCUCCCGCCCCAGCCA